rnacentral:lncRNA from 1 species
CCAAAGUUUUUACUCUCUUCCCAUUCUCACCCAUCGGCCGCCGCCGCCAAGAUAACUGAGCAGCUGAGGAACACGCUGCACUUUCGCAGUCAUCCACGCGACGCGAAGCAUCGUAGCGUAGUCACUCCCUCGUCCGCGCAUCUGCUCCGACUCCAAGCCACACAUCGCGCGUUUCCUCUUGCAAAUCACAGCCCCCACCCCACAACUUUCUUCCUGGAGCAUCCGCAUGACUGAGAUGUCUAUUCGAGCUCAAUGGUGUGAUGUGACAUGCCUCAAGCCAGAGUCACUUGCACGGCAUGUCUUGAUGUAGCUUGGAGUUCUUGUUGAGUAGUGGCUUGAUUCAAGAAAGCUUAGCACCCAAGACUCGUGUGUUCCGGUUAUUUGUGCUUUCUUUUUUUUGGAUUUUAUGAGAAGGAAGCUAGUAAUGUUUCUUAGCGACCGGCACAUGAGAAAUCUUAAAAUCUUCUUGCUCGAUUGGAGUCUAUUUUUCACUCGAAUGAUGUCAGUUUUGAUGCCAUAGAUCUGGUCUCGAUCUGGAGUAUAUAUGAUGGUCUUAAUUUGGUAUUAUACUUUAUUUGGUCUCGAUCUAAAUCGUGAUGGCAUUGAUUUGGUUCUCUGAUCUCUCCUAGUCUUUAUAUGAUGGUCUAGAUUUGGUAUUCUACUCUAGUGUCGAUCUAAAUCGUGAUGGCCAACAAUUUGGUUAUCAGAUCUCUCCUAGUCUUUCCUAUUUUUUAAAUUAUUUUGGGCUCGCAUACAGAUAUGGAUUCAAGUCUACACGUUCCGUUUAAAAAAAUACGUCGAAGAGGCUGGACGAGGAUUUUGCUGGACGAGGAUUUUCCUGGUUGGUUCGAUAGAGUUUGAUUUGGAAAAGUCUGAUUUUGGAGAGGAUUCUUUUCUUUCUAUUUUUCUUACAUCCAAUCUCUCCUAUCCUUAUAAGUAGCCAGACCAAAAAAAUUUCCAGACGAAAAAAACAGUGAAAUUAGGUAUAGAUUUAGAUUUGGACUUCGAUUGAAUUGGCUGCAUUUGAUUUCGUGUCUGAUUUGGAAGUGAUUGCAUGUCUGAUUUGGAAGAGGAGAUUUCUUUCCGGUUGCGUCCGAACUCUGAAGUAAUUUUUUAUCCGAUCUUCACCAUCGAGGCCCGGCGGACUGGAGUAAUUUUUUAUCCGAUCUUCACCAUCGAGGCCCGGCGGACUGUUGGCUAUAGAUGUUGCCAUAUCAGCAAAAUAUUAUAAAUAAUAUGUAAUUAAUUGUCUAGAACUCUGUGAUAGAGUUUUGCAUUGUGAGUGUCCUAACACGGGUACAAGUUUUAUCACAAACACCUAGACCUAGCUAUGUGUGCAUGUAUUACAUUUAUGAUCAGAAGUUUAACUUCUUGAAAGAAGUCAGAAUUUAAUUUCGUGGAAGAAACCAGAACAUUG